GCUCUGUGGUUUAGACCACAGUGCCACCCGCGUCCCUCCCCUUAUACUGAGAUCUCCAGAUCUUAUACUGAUACACCUCCCUUUAUACUGAGCCUCCAGAGGCCCUGAUUCCUAUGCCUCCAUCAUCUGAACUAUAGUGGGUAGUAAUACAGGACAGGACUUUCUCUGCGGCAGCACCUAAGCUCUGGAACUCCCAUCCUAAGAACUUUUACCUUACUUGCAUCUUUGGGGAAGAGCUCUGCAGUAGAGAAUCUGCUUUCUUAAUCCCUGACAUCUCUAGGCAGGGAGAUAAUCCUGCCUGAAACCCUCAGUGGUAUAGCGUGGGUUGCCAGUGCCUAGGGCCACAUGGAGGGGAAGAGGGAGAGAGGAAAAUGGACAGAGUAAGCUUGCACAUUCAACUGCCUGACGGCAUCCGCGUCACCCAGGAGAUCGUAGCCACAGAGAUAAGAAAAGAAGAGUCCUUCUGUCACCUGGAGAAGUCACUUCCUGGUUUGCAUGGAGAAGACGUUUUCAGUGGAGUCUAGCAAUAGAAGCACACAGCUGUAUUCAAGCAGCACUGGGUGUUGAAAUUUUGCACCUCUAACUAUUUUGCACCCAGGGCAACCACCCCAUGGCCCCCUCCAUGCUACAAUACUGGAAACCCUGGAGACCCACUGCCAGUGUAGUGUAGGCAAUACUGAGCAAGAAGGACCAUUGCUCUAACUCAGUAUGCGGCAGCUUCCUAUGCUCCUCUGCUCAAGCCAAGGCAGCCCUCAUUUGGAGGGUUUGGGGUUGCACCCAUUUCUGCUGGUCUGAUUAAUGUGACUACUAGGUGUUUUGGUUUUUUAAAAAAAUUUGGAUGGAUUAUUAUGAUUUUAUUGAUACUAUUAUUCUUUUAAUGCACCAUCAUUUUAGUAAAGUCUCAAAGGCAGCUGAUAAAGCAUAUUAAGAAAAAUAAUAUAAAUUUAACAUGUUUUGUUUGCCAGCUCAACAAGUAGUUUAUAAAUCUAAAGUGAUAGCCAGCUAAAUCAUGCUCUGAACAGACCUAACUGAAAUUGAUUAACUAAUCAUCUUUUGGUAUUGUU